CACGUAGGGCGCAAGCGUUUGUCCGGAAUUAUUGGGCGUAAAGAGCUCGUAGGUGGUUUGUUACGUCUGCUGUGAAAACCUAGGGCUUAACCCUGGGCUUGCAGUGGAUACGGGCAGACUAGAGGUAGGGUAGGGGAGAAUGGAAUUCCUGGUGUGAGCGGUGAAUGCGCAGAUAUCAGGAAGAACACCCGUGGCGAAGCGGCUCUCUGGAACGGUACUGACGCUGAGACGCGAAAGCGUGGGAGCGAACAGG
rnacentral:rRNA from 1 species